UUUCAUACUUUUAGUUAAUUUUACUUUUUCAGAUUAUGCUAUGUCUAAAAUUAGCUUCAAAAUGACACGUCGCCGAACACAUUUGCAUAAAGAAAGUCCGAAGGUAUUUCGAACACUGAGAUCCAACAAGAAGCCCAUCCUUGAGCCAAGAUUGAAAUCUAGUCGAACAAAAUUUAGAGGUCGGGCCAGAACUAAAUGUAUAACGGUUUACAAAAAACCGCCGGCGGUGAAAGCUUAUGAAGAAACUUCGUCUGAUAGUGAAACCGGGUUUUCCAGCAGUCAGCACAACAAUAUGCCACAGGGACGAAAUCACCGAAAUAAGAGUGGAGGAAGUGAUUCCCCGGAUCAGCAGAGUGAUAGUGAUGAAGAUAUUUGCUUAUCUCAAACAGUGGAUAGUUUGGUUGGUGGUGAGAUGAGCUCCUCUGACCUCUCCUCGCCUGUCGGUCAACUGGGUCAGCUCUGCCAAACCGUAGCAGAGAUCGAUCAGGAUUGGAUGUCAGCAUGUAGCGAUGAAGCAGUCAAAUUCUUCUGUUCUUUACAACAAACAAGUUCAACAGUGUACAAUACAUCCAGCCUGCUUUACAGUACAACAGACAACGGGUUGUACCAGUCAGAUGAGAGUUCGCUCUAUGUACAUAAAGAGAACAUGUACCCUGCCGAGCAGCCCGUGUACCCUGUUUACCGGGACGGACUGUGCCCUGGUGGAGAGGAGGAAAAGGAUGAGGUGGAUGGGGGAGAUCAUCAACCCAUAGAUCUAGUCUAUUCUGCUGUUCAACCUCAAACCUUUAGAUCAGCACAGGAGUACAGUUCGCAUGUAUCUGAACAGUACAGUGGGCGUGGUUACCAGAUGAGCCGGUACACGAGGCAGGAGGAGGAGGUGGAGCCAGCCUUCGAUCCCUACGUGUUCAUUAAGAACCUGCCUCCUCUUACACCAGAAAUGAGAUCUAGGUGUCCUGCUCUACCCUUAAAAACAAGAUCUAGUCCACAGUUUUCUCUAGUUUUGGAUCUUGAUGAAACGUUAGUUCACUGUUCACUUCAGCAGCUUGAAGAUGCCACUCUAUCCUUCCCUGUCUUCUUCCAGAACCAAGAAUAUCAGGUGUUUGUAAGAACUAGGCCGCAUUUCUCCGAGUUCUUGGAGAGAGUUUCCAAACAUUUCGAGCUAAUUCUCUUCACAGCGAGUAAAAAGGUUUACGCAGAUAAAUUAAUGAAUUUACUGGAUCCUGGUCGUACUUUUAUUAAAUACAGACUCUUCAGAGAACAUUGUGUUGUUCAGGUUUACGCAGAUAAAUUAAUGAAUUUAUUGGAUCCUGGUCGUACUUUCAUUAGAUACAGACUCUUCAGAGAACAUUGUGUUGUUCAGGUUUACGCAGAUAAAUUAAUGAAUUUACUGGAUCCUGGUCGUACUUUCAUUAGAUACAGACUCUUCAGAGAACAUUGUGUUGUUCAGGUUUACGCAGAUAAAUUAAUGAAUUUACUGGAUCCUGGUCGUACUUUCAUUAGAUACAGACUCUUCAGAGAACAUUGUAUUGUUCAGGUUUACGUAGAUAAAUUAAUGAAUUUAUUGGAUCCUGGUCGUACUUUCAUUAGAUACAGACUCUUCAGAGAACAUUGUAUUGUUCAGGUUUACGCAGAUAAAUUAAUGAAUUUACUGGAUCCUGGUCGUACUUUUAUUAAAUACAGACUCUUCAGAGAACAUUGUGUUUGUGUUAACGGGAACUAUAUUAAGGAUUUGAAUAUACUGGGGCGGGAUCUAAGAAAGACGAUUAUAAUUGAUAACUCUCCUCAGGCCUUUGGUUACCAGCUGGAGAACGGUAUCCCUAUAGAAUCCUGGUUUGUGGAUAAAUCUGACAAUGAACUGAUGAAACUGGUCCCAUUCCUAGAGAAUAUUGUUAACCAGGCAGAGGACGUCAGGCCCAUCAUCCGAGAGUCCUUUCGUCUCUUCUCCCAUCUUCCUCCUGGGUAGGACAGAGACUAAAGAAACCAGAAGGAUGAGAGGGCAUUUCCCCAAUCCCCUUCAAACCUAUAGUUUCCCCACAUGCUAACCCAACUGAGCUUAACCUGCUAUAGCACUGAUAUAAAACUGAAAGAUGUAGCAUCGAAUCCAUUACAGGAUUUCUUCAUCAUGGGGUCAUCUGACUUCAAGCAAGGAUUUCAAGAUAAAGAUGCAAUUAUGGCACAACUUAAUCCAAUUUAAAAAUGUUUUUAGAUUUUGAUUUACUUCUUAGAGAUUAUGAGCAAAUUCCGGAGAAAAUUAUUGAACUAUUGUUUUGAGACUACCAGUAAUAUAUAAUGAAAGAUUUAUUCCCGUGUACAAAUUAUGCACUGCAAAAAGUAGUUCACUUCGAAGCCGGUUGUACACAAUCAUACACCAUAUUGUUAUGUACAUUAAAAUGAUUCUAAAAAACACUCUUUAUUUUAUUUGAUGCAGACAACCCUUGUGAAUCUAAUCUUUAACCAUUAUAUUGCCAAACACUCACCAUCUUCUUUGUUGAGAAAUAUCUUAAUCCAUCCUUUGCCGAUUACCCCAUUCAAUUUAUGGUUGCGGUUUGUUGGCAAAAUACCUCUUUAUAAUAAGGAUUUUUUGUAACGGUGGCACAACAUCGUUUUUUUCUUUUCUAAAAAAAUAUAUAUACCUUUGAGUAGUUCCUGAAAUGUUUGUGAAUUAUUUUUUAAUUAUCAAAACACCUCGAGACAAUUUUUCACAAACCAUUUUUUUGUUUUUAGAAUUUGGUUGAGAUUUUAACUCUAAAUGAAUGGAUACCUCAAUGGUUUAGUUUUCGAGCUUGCAGCCUCUUCGGCUCUUACAUUAUUUUUGAAAAAAGUUAAAGCGAAAAAAUUUGAGAAAAUUUAAAUGUAAAAUACAAGUAUUAUUACCUGUAACAAAUGUAAAAUUUACAUCGGUGAAAAUCUAUUCUGUUAAAUUUUAUUGUGAUUUUUUGUUCUGGGGACAUCAAAACCCAGCACCCAUUGUAAUACUAUGAAUGCAUAUUGAAUCUAUAUAUAUAUACCUUACAUAAUAAAAUAGUUUUUUAAA
rnacentral:misc_RNA from 1 species